AUUGAACGCUGGCGGAAUGCUUUACACAUGCAAGUCGAACGGCAGCACGGGGGCAACCCUGGUGGCGAGUGGCGAACGGGUGAGUAAUACAUCGGAACGUGCCCAGUCGUGGGGGAUAACGUAGCGAAAGCUACGCUAAUACCGCAUACGAACUGAGGUUGAAAGCGGGGGAUCGCAAGACCUCGCGCGAUUGGAGCGGCCGAUGGCAGAUUAGGUAGUUGGUGGGGUAAAGGCCUACCAAGCCGACGAUCUGUAGCUGGUCUGAGAGGACGACCAGCCACACUGGGACUGAGACACGGCCCAGACUCCUACGGGAGGCAGCAGUGGGGAAUUUUGGACAAUGGGCGCAAGCCUGAUCCAGCCAUUCCGCGUGCAGGAUGAAGGCCCUCGGGUUGUAAACUGCUUUUGUACGGAACGAAACGGCCUGGGCCAAUACUCUGGGCUAAUGACGGUACCGUAAGAAUAAGCACCGGCUAACUACGUGCCAGCAGCCGCCGUAACAC
rnacentral:rRNA from 1 species